rnacentral:rRNA from 1 species
UACAGAGGUCCCAAGCGUUGUUCGGAUUUACUGGGCGUAAAGGGCGCGUAGGCGGCGCGGUAAGUCACUUGUGAAAUCUCUGAGCUUAACUCAGAACGGCCAAGUGAUACUGCAGUGCUAGAGUGUGGAAGGGGCAAUCGGAAUUCUUGGUGUAGCGGUGAAAUGCGUAGAUAUCAAGAGGAACACCUGAGGUGAAGACGGGUUGGUGGGCCAACACUGACGCUGAUGCGCGAAAGCCAGGGGAGCAAACGGG